AACUGAUACUACCUGCGGGAACCUGCGGAGGGAUCAUUACCGAGUGAGGGCCCUCUGGGUCCAACCUCCCACCCGUGUUUAUCGUACCUUGUUGCUUCGGCGGGCCCGCCAUUCUGGCCGCCGGGGAGCACUCGCUGCUCCCGGGCCCGCGCCCGCCGAAGACACCAUUGAACACUGUCUGAAGUUUGCAGUCUGAGAAAUUACUUUAAUUAGUUAAAACUUUUAGCAAUGGAUCUCUAG
rnacentral:misc_RNA from 1 species